GGCACUUUGGCGGAGUGGUUAACGCGCUGCCCUGCUAUCAGCUGAUCAGGCAGUUCCUUCGGGAGCGCAGGUUCGAAUCCUGCAGGUGUCG